rnacentral:rRNA from 1 species
AGAGUUUGAUCCUGGCUCAGAACGAACGCUGGCGGAGUAACACAUGCAAGUCGAACGAGACCUUCGGGUCUAGUGGCGCACGGGUGAGUAACGCGUGGGAACCUGUCCUGUGGUUCGGGAUACCUCCGGGAAACUGGAGUUAAUACCGGGUAUCUCCUGAGGGAGAAAGAUUUAUCGCCAUAGGGUGGGCCCGCGUCCGAUUAGCUAGUUGGUGGGGUAAAGGCCUACCAAGGCUUCGAUCGGUAGCUGGUCUGAGAGGAUGAUCAGCCACACUGGGACUGAGACACGGCCCAGACUCCUACGGGAGGCAGCAGUGGGGAAUAUUGGACAAUGGGGGCAACCCUGAUCCAGCCAUGCCGCGUGAGUGAUGAAGGCCUUCGGGUUGUAAAGCUCUUUCGACGGGGACGAUGAUGACGGUACCCGUAGAAGAAGCCCCGGCUAACUUCGUGCCAGCAGCCGCGGUAAUACGAAGGGGGCGAGCGUUGUUCGGAAUUACUGGGCGUAAAGGGCGCGUAGCGGCGCACCAAGUCAGGCGUGAAAGCCCUGGGCUUAACCCAGGAACUGCGUUUGAGACUGGUGUGCUGGAGUGCAGGAGAGGUCGGCGGAAUUCCCAGUGUAGAGGUGAAAUUCGUAGAGAUUGGGAAGAACACCGGUGGCGUAGGCGGCCGACUGGACUGUAACUGACGCUGAGGCGCGAAAGCGUGGGGAGCAAACAGGAUUAGAUACCCUAGUAGUCC